rnacentral:tRNA from 1 species
AAGAGUAUGAUGUACAAAAUGAAGCUGCUAACUUCUAUUUUUAGCGGUUUAAUUCCGUUUAUACUCUUA